UACGGGGGGAGCAAGCGUUGUUCGGAUUUACUGGGCGUAAAGGGCGCGUAGGCGGCCAGCGCAAGUCAGUUGUGAAAUCUCCGAGCUUAACUCGGAAAGGUCAACUGAUACUGCGCGGCUAGAGUGCAGAAGGGGCAACUGGAAUUCUCGGUGUAGCGGUGAAAUGCGUAGAUAUCGAGAGGAACACCUGCGGCGAAGGCGGGUUGCUGGGCUGACACUGACGCUGAUGCGCGAAAGCUAGGGGAGCGAAGCGGG
rnacentral:rRNA from 1 species